rnacentral:misc_RNA from 1 species
UCUUUACACAAAGGCAAAAUGCAUACCUACAUAUUGAGGGGGGGAAAAACAUCUAAUGGUAACUUUUUUUUCCUCGAGGGUCAGUAGAGACCUCUUUGGAUAAGCUACAACUACCAUAGCACUCGCUCUAGAUCGAAAGUUUUAAGAGGUAUUUAUUGAAAAUUAAAGGAUGGAUCAAACCCUCAAAGCAACAGGAUCUUGCCAAGAUAUUUUCCGCUUCUCAACAUGAGAAGUUCCUUCUCCCACAUUCCUGCAUAUCGAUAACUUUAAGUCUCUGUGCUGAUCAUCAUUUAUGUUUUGAAUUAGUCCUCUCUUUGGCUCCUCAAAGUUCAAUGGUUCAAAAUUUGCUUGAGGCUCCUCUUCUCCUAUCGAGAUUUCAUUCAAAUCAAUGACUGGAACUCGACUAGGCAAUACAACAUCUUUCCCAACAUAAUCAGUUUCCUGAUUCAAAUCAAAGACGGGUAUGGUACUCCUCAAAACAAAACCAUUCCCAGCGAAUGACCUGUCAUUCUGAUUCAAAUCAAACACUGGAGCUGCGUUUUGGAGCAGCAUUUCCUUACCACUAUACACUCUUGAUUGGUGCUUCAAACCUGAAGAAACUGUACUACGAUGAACAGCGUCUUUCCCAAUCAGUAAUGCCUGUUUAUGAUUCACAAGAAUAUCCGAAGGUGUCCUCUGUAAUGAAGCUUCCUUUGCAACUUGAAUCCUCGCUUUCUGUUUCAGCCUAGGAAGAGGGGGCAGUUUGUGUUGCUUCACCUCCUUUUUGCUAUGAAAUCGAUCAUUCAUCCCAUUUAUACCGUAUAACUCUGUGUUCAGCAGGGCUGCUCGUUCUUGCUGUUCAAGAUGACCUGAUGACUUCAUCUGCAAUAGGUAUUUGUGUCUUCGGCGCAAGAAAUGAACUUCAGCAAGUAAUUUUUGUUUCCUCAUUUUCAUGUCCUCCAAUUUGUUCCUCGUGUCAUUAGUAUCCUUAUGGAGUUCCAGAUAGUCCUGCAAUAGAGUCUGAUGCUUCAAUCUAGCAUUAUUCUCCUCAAACACCACAUAAGGUGAUGAUUCUAAAGCAACCCUUUUCAUCUUCUUAGACAUAUGAAUCAAAUCACAGAGAAAUCAAACAAACAAAUGCUUAAAUCACAAAAAGAACCAAUCUUUGAAGCAAAUAGACAAAACCAAGAAAAGGGUAUGGCGGCAGAAGAAAGAAAAGAAGGAAAAGUAAGAGAAAAAGAAGCGUGUGGAAGGUGAAGACAGAACAAUAAUACAAACACAAAUAGGUUAAGAAAGAAAAAAGAAAGGGUAAUUGCGAAAGAAUAGAAAAGACAGAACACAAUUGGGGGGUUUGGG